rnacentral:rRNA from 1 species
CGAGUUUGAUCCUGGCUCAGGACAAACGCUGGCGGCGUGCGUAACACAUGCAAGUCGAGCGAGGUGGGACUUCGGUUCCAUCGAGCGGCGGACGGGUGAGUAACACGUGAGUAACCAACCCUCCAGUGGGGGAUACCGGUGGGAAACCACCGUUAAUCCCGCAUACGGUCCCCUUUGUGGGGAAGAAAGCAGCAAUGCGCUGGAGAACGGGCUCGCGGCUGAUUAGCUAGUUGGUAGGGUAAGAGCCUACCAAGGCAACGAUCAGUAGCUGGUCUGAGAGGAUGAUCAGCCACACUGGGAUUGAGAACGGCCCAGACUCCUACGGGGGGCAGCAGUGAGGAAUCUUCGUCAAUGGGGGCAACCCUGAACGAGCAACGCCGCGUGCGGGAAGACGGCCUUCGGGUUGUAAACCGCUUUUCACGAGGACGAGACAGGACGGUACUCGUGGAAGAAGCCUCGGCUAACUACGUGCCAGCAGCCGCGGUAAUACGUAGGAGGCGAGCGUUGUCCGGAGUUACUGGGCGUAAAGGGCGCGCAGGCGGCUUGCCGCGUUCCAGGUGAAAGCUCUCGGCUUAACCGGGAGAGGUUCUGGAAAACGGGUGAGCUUGAGCGUCGGAGAGGGGCAUGGAACUCCGGGUGGAGCGGUGAAAUGCGUAGAGAUCCGGAAGAACACCAAUGGCGAAGGCAGUGCCCUGGCCGACUGCUGACGCUCAGGCGCGAAAGCGUGGGGAGCAAACAGGAUUAGAUACCCUGGUAGUCCACGCU